rnacentral:misc_RNA from 1 species
GUUCGCCUCUCUUCAGGUUUCGAUUCCAGCCCCGUCUCCGGUGAGGAGCUUCUCUCCCAUCAAAUUCUGUGCUAAAAUUCGAGUAGCCAGCAAUGAUAUCCAGGUCCAUGGAUCAAAUUCAUCCAUUUUGGUGACGACAAAAUACCUUACAUCAGUCCCUCUUGCACAUUUUUGCGGAUUAGCUGACCAUAUUCUGAAAAGAAGCAACGUUCAACAGUCGAAGAUUAGUAGUGGCGAUGCAUCAAGAAGAGAUGUACUGACCUCCAUGCCUGCUGCCCUUUUGGCAACUUUAUUGGCGUCCACCCCCGCGGAAGCGCGUACUGUGAAGCCAGAGACGAGGCGAAAAAUCAGGGAGAAGCUCGAUAAGCUGCGGGAGAAGGCAGGAAUUCCUAAAGAGAAAGGAGAGCCAAAGUCUUCUGACAAGGAAAAACUGCCAUCAACUCCAUCGAAGGGUUCGCUUGUACCUUUGGUUGAAGCAAUCAAUCUGAAGCAGUGAGUUUGUAAUAUCAAGUUAUGUUGAAGUCUUUUUCUAGUUUGUAUUAUGUUAACGAAUAUCCAGGUUUCUGGGUUAUACUGAUGGUAAUGUCUUUCGAAGUAAUAUUUAGUUUAGCGUGUAAU